ensembl:lncRNA
CACAUGUAUCCUCCCAGCUUUAAUCCACAUGCAGCUCUUGUAGGACAGAUGUAAACUGGCUUCAAACUAAUGCAAGCCAGCAUCUCUGGCUUUCCCUGUUUGCUUGGAUGGUUCCCCAACAAAGGGUUCAAAUCAAGGAGGAAAACUUUGGGCAGUGUCUGCUCUCAUGGUUGCAUGCAAUUUUACAAGCAAACUUUUAUCCAGGAUAAAUUAACAUUCUAAACGUUCCUGUGCUGCAAGUGAUGCUGAGCUUAUAUAUGCUCGACGACUGCUUUUCAAAAGUGCACAUUAACAAUAACAGCAUUAGCACCAGCGGGGACUGCUAUGUGAUGACGCCAGGUAUCCCUUAUCAAAGGCUUAAGACCAGUAGGAGCGCUAUCUGCACGUUUUCAGUGGCACGGGAUUUGCUUUGCUUUGCUGCCAUGAGCUCCGAUAGGUGUGCGCCGUUCGGAUUGCCUCGUGCCUUUCAACUGUUCUGAUGCAGAACAGACACCAAAGCGCAGGCGAAGUGCUCUUCACGGAGUAACGGAACGUGCCUUCAUACCGCUCUGAGCUCUCCUGAGUGGCUUACAACACGCAGCUUCUUUGUUUUUUUUUUGUUUUUUUUUUCUUGUUUCUGUUUCUGCCGUGACAGAGCUGUCAUCGCCUCGGCGUUGCCCUCAGUUUCGACUCAGGGCCAAAGUGAGACGGUGAUGACAAUCUGAGUACAGGCAAGUCAGCGUGUCAUUUGCAUCUUUUUGUGCGGCGUAUUGUACGCUUCUACAAGACGCCUGCUUUGUUUACAGCGCCUCAUAUUUAGCCUGGGGCCUGUCAGCAAGCGAAGGCCCUCUGGAGCCUGGUCCAUGAUUGACCCCCCCCCCCCCACACACACCCCACAUCAUUUUCCGCACGAAGCAUCAAAACAUUUUUUCGCACGUCAUAUCAUUUCAUGGGAACAGUCGAAAAAAAAUGCCCUAAUCCUUGCUAUGACAAAGGGGUAUACACGUAGAUGAUUUUGCCAUGUCAUUGAAGAAAAUGAAAAGGCCUGAUUGAUUACAUAGUCAGAAAAAAUAAAUCUUAUCACUUAUUGUAUCACUGA